GGGGAAUUUUGGACAAUGGACGUAAGUCUGAUCCAGCGACGCCGCGUGGAGGACGAAGGUUUUCGGAUCGUAAACUCCUUUUAUAGGGGACGAAAGCUCGCAAGAGUUUGACGGUACCCUGUGAAUAAGCCACGGCUAACUACGUGCCAGCAGCCGCGGUAAUACGUAGGUGGCGAGCGUUACUCGGAAUUACUAGGCGUAAAGCGCGUGUAGGCGGGAGCUUAAGUCUGUCGUUAAAGCUCAGGGCUCAACCCUGAAAUGUCGACGGAAACUGGGCUUCUUGAGUGCGGUAGAGGAGAUCGGAAUUCCAGGUGUAGCGGUGAAAUGCGUAGAUAUCUGGAAGAACGCCAAAGGCGAAGGCAGAUCUCUGGGCCGUUACUGACGCUGAGACGCGAAAGCUAGGGGAGCAAAC
rnacentral:rRNA from 1 species